UAGCCGAUGUUCCACAAGAGAGGGCCAA
rnacentral:sRNA from 1 species